CAGCAGCCACGGUAAUACGUAGGUGGCAAGCGUUGUCCGGAAUUAUUGGGCGUAAAGGGCUCGCAGGCGGUUUCUUAAGUCUGAUGUGAAAGCCCCCGGCUCAACCGGGGAGGGUCAUUGGAAACUGGGAAACUUGAGUGCAGAAGAGGAGAGUGGAAUUCCACGUGUAGCGGUGAAAUGCGUAGAGAUGUGGAAGAACACCAGUGGCGAAGGCGACUCUCUGGUCUGUAACUGACGCUGAGGAGCGAAAGCGUGGGGAGCGAACAGGAUUAGAUACCCCCGUAGUCCCUGUCUCUUAUAC
rnacentral:rRNA from 1 species